rnacentral:rRNA from 1 species
UACGUAGGGGGCAAGCGUUGUCCGGAAUCAUUGGGCGUAAAGAGCGCGUAGGCGGCCUGAUAAGUCAGCUGUGAAAGUCCAGGGCUCAACCCUGGAAUGCCGGUGGAUACUGUCGGGCUCGAAUCCGGAAGAGGUGAGUGGAAUUCCUGGUGUAGCGGUGAAAUGCGCAGAUAUCAGGAGGAACACCGGUGGCGAAGGCGGGUCUCUGGGCCGAUACUGACGCUGAGGAGCGAAAGCGUGGGGAGCGAACAGG